AAAGCUACGUAGGGAUGGGUCCUCGGGGUGACCUCCCACCCGUGUUGCCCGAACCUAUGUUGCCUCGGCGGGCCCCGCGCCCGCCGACGGCCCCCCUGAACGCUGUCUGAAGUUGCAGUCUGAGACCUAUAACGAAAUUAGUUAAAACUUUCAACAACGGAUCUCUUGGUUCCGGCAUCGAUGAAGAACGCAGCGAAAUGCGAUAACUAAUGUGAAUUGCAGAAUUCAGUGAAUCAUCGAGUCUUUGAACGCACAUUGCGCCCUCUGGUAUUCCGGAGGGCAUGCCUGUCCGAGCGUCAUUGCUGCCCUCAAGCCCGGCUUGUGUGUUGGGCCCCGUCCCCCCCGCCGGGGGGACGGGCCCGAAAGGCAGCGGCGGCACCGCGUCCGGUCCUCGAGCGUAUGGGGCUUCGUCACCCGCUCUAGUAGGCCCGGCCGGCGCCAGCCGACCCCCAACCUUUAAUUAUCUCAGGUUGACCUCGGAUCAGGUAGGGAUACCCGCUGAACUUAAGCAUAUCAAUAAGACGGAGGAAU
rnacentral:rRNA from 1 species